rnacentral:misc_RNA from 1 species
GAUGAAGAACGCAGCGAAAUGCGAUAAGUAAUGUGAAUUGCAGAAUUCAGUGAAUCAUCGAAUCUUUGAACGCACCUUGCGCUCCUUGGUAUUCCGAGGAGCAUGCCUGUUUGAGUGUCAUGAAAUUCUCAACCUUUUCAGCUUUCUUUGUUGAUCAGGCUUGGAUGUGGGAGUAUGCGGGCUUCUCAGAAGUCGGCUCUCCUGAAAUGCAUUAGCGGGACCUUUGUUGCCCGGCUUUGGUGUGAUAAUUAUCUACGCCAUUGUAGUCAAGCAGCUUAAAAUGAGGUUUCAGCUUCUAACCGUCUCCCCUGAGACAACUUUUUGACAAUUUGACCUCAAAUCAGGUAGGACUACCCGCUGAACUUAAGCAUAUCAAUAAGCGGAGGA